rnacentral:lncRNA from 1 species
AGAAAAGCUCCUUAAAAUCAAAUCAGAUUUUUUCCUCCUCCUCUCGUCUCCGGCAGCAGCCCAACCCAGCUCUUGCCCAAAUCUUAUCCAUUUUAUUUGAUUCUACUCAUCUCUCAGCAACACUCAUUCGUGUGAAUCGAAAUUGCCGAUCUACAAGACGAACGGACAUUACGAAGCACGGCCACAGUGACUUUGAAUAUUUUCUUUCUGCCUCUCAUAGUCUCACUCUCGUCACCCUAAGCCCUCGACAAGAUGAAGCCGAUGCUGCCUUUAGUCUUCCUUCCAUCGACACCAUCAGCAGCCGGUAGCGCAAGCAGCAAUGAUUCAUUUUUGGAAGAAGAAGAAAUGUAAACUAGAACAAUGGAACCGUGAACAAGUGAAGCUAGAAGUCCUCUCAUUGAACUUUUCUGUUUAUUUGUUAUUUGAUUUGAUUUGAGCCUAAAAUCAAGAUGAGUCAAUUUUGUGAUUCUUAUGAAAUUCAUUUGUUGAUUUGCAGGUAGAAGAACUGAGUCUUAGAAGCUAUCGGAGCGACGGAGCCUCAGGCCUGGAAUUAAUACCUAAUUGGACAGUGCUCCUCACCACACCCCCCCCCCUCCCCGGCCUGGAGUUUGUAAUCAUUUUGAUUUAUCUUUAAUUGAUUUUAAAACCCUUCUAGAUUAAGUGCUUAUUUCUUUAUGACUUUUGAGUUUUAAGCCAUUUGUUUGGUGAUUAGGUGUUAAUGAAUUAAUUUAUAAGUUUCCCCUUUUC